UGGGGAAUUUUGGACAAUGGGCGCAAGCCUGAUCCAGCCAUGCCGCGUGCGGGAAGAAGGCCUUCGGGUUGUAAACCGCUUUUGUCAGGGAAGAAAAGGUUCUGGCUAAUACCUGGGACUCAUGACGGUACCUGAAGAAUAAGCACUGGCUAACUACGUGCCAGCAGCCGCGGUAAUACGUAGGGUGCAAGCGUUAAUCGGAAUUACUGGGCGUAAAGCGUGCGCAGGCGGUUAUGCAAGACAGAGGUGAAAUCCCCGGGCUCAACCUGGGAACUGCCUUUGUGACUGCAUGGCUAGAGUACGGUAGAGGGGGAUGGAAUUCCGCGUGUAGCAGUGAAAUGCGUAGAUAUGCGGAGGAACACCGAUGGCGAAGGCAAUCCCCUGGACCUGUACUGACGCUCAUGCACGAAAGCGUGGGGAGCAAACAGGAUUAGAUACCCUGGUAGUCCACGCCCUAAACGAUGUCAACUGGUUGUUGGGAGGGUUUCUUCUCAGUAACGUAGCUAACGCGUGAAGUUGACCGCCUGGGGAGUACGGCCGCAAGGUUG
rnacentral:rRNA from 1 species